rnacentral:rRNA from 1 species
GGUGAACGCUGGCGGCGUGCCUAAUACAUGCAAGUCGAGCGAACAGACGAGGAGCUUGCUCCUCUGACGUUAGCGGCGGACGGGUGUGUAACACGUGGAUAACCUACCUAUAAGACUGGGAUAACUUCGGGAAACCGGCGCUAAUACCGGAUAAUAUAUUGAACCGCAUGGUUGAAUAGUGAAAGACGGUUUUGCUGUCACUUAUAGAUGGAUCCGCGCCGCAUUAGGUAGUUGGUACGGUAACGGCUUACCAAGGGAACGAUGCGUAGCCGAGCUGAGAGGGUGAUCGGCCACACGGGAACUGAGACGCGGUCCAGACUCCUACGGGAGGCAGCAGUAGGGAAUCUUCCGCAAUGGUCGAAAGCCUGACGGAGCAACGCGGCGUGAGUGAUGAGGGUCUUCGGUGCGGAAAACUCUGUUAUUAGGGAAGAACAAAUGUGUAAGUAACUAUGCACGUCUUGACGGUACCUAAUCAGAAAGCCACGGCUAACUACGUG